rnacentral:rRNA from 1 species
GACGAACGCUGGCGGCGUGCUUAACACAUGCAAGUCGAACGCUGAAGCUUGGUGCUUGCACUGGGUGGAUGAGUGGCGAACGGGUGAGUAAUAAGUGAGUAACCUGCCCUUGACUCUGGGAUAAGCCUGGGAAACUGGGUCUAAUACUGGAUACGACAUGUCACCGCAUGGUGGUGUGUGGAAAGGGUUUUACUGGUUUUGGAUGGGCUCACGGCCUAUCAGCUUGUUGGUGGGGUAAUGGCUUACCAAGGCGACGACGGGUAGCCGGCCUGAGAGGGUGACCGGCCACACUGGGACUGAGACACGGCCCAGACUCCUACGGGAGGCAGCAGUGGGGAAUAUUGCACAAUGGGCGGAAGCCUGAUGCAGCGACGCCGCGUGAGGGAUGACGGCCUUCGGGUUGUAAACCUCUUUCAGCACGGAAGAAGCGAAAGUGACGGUACGUGCAGAAGAAGCGCCGGCUAACUACGUG